ensembl:lncRNA
CUGAAAUAGUCUUGGCUAUCGGACCCGCAGUCCACCCGUUCAAUUUGGUGAAAUGGUCUGACCGGUUCACUAAGAAGAUCCGGUUAAAUAGAAAGAGUCAUUCGCGAUCCGGACAUUACUAGAUGAGACAAAAACAAUAAAACCCAUUACAAACUAGGCAUUUGUUGCAUCCAGUGGGGACAUAAUUACUGAUUAUAAUGACUUAUACUGUCUUUUUAGGCGUUGCAUUGCGUAUCACGCCGCGUAAACAUAAAACCAUGUCUGCAUUUGUGAUCUGAGAAACAACAAACAACAAGCCUACUCUAUUGCUCAAAACUUGCAUUUGAAUCAUCAUUGGCAAAUUAUUUAAAAUAUAAAAAACAUACUUACAGGCUGUGAGUCAGAAGCGCCAGACUGUCCUUGCAAAGUUUGAACUGCCCAAAUUUGAUAGAAACAGUCUUUGUGACAGGAAACAGUCCUCAACCGCCAUAAAAUGUGCAGCAAACAUCUGAAUAUUUAGGUUGGACUAUUCUGGAACAGUGUUGAAAUACAACUUAACCUCUUGAUUUCUAGUCGUGUCCUCUUUUGGAAGGCCAAACAAAGUAGUUUCACUUUCACAAUGAAACACACAGUGACUCCACAACAAGGCAGAUUUUAUUGUAGGACAGCAGAGUGUGAGAGCAGGAAGGGACCAGAACAUGUAGGCCGAAUCCAGACCUGGGACUGCACUUCAGCCCCACUACAUGUUUGUAGCAGUGUACUGCCACCUGUUCCAAAGCAACGCCAUAAUGUAUCUUUUAAAGGAAGAUGUAAAUUAAGGAGCGUCAGGGCCAGUAGCAGAGCUGUGGUCUGGACUGUAGGGUCUGUGUAUCGGGCUCGGUCCCGUUCUCUGCCUGUGUUAAUGAAUUGCUGACAUGAGUGCCCAGACUGGCUCACUGCAGGCCCGGAUCAGGAUUGAUGUCGUGGUCACUGUGGAGAGAAGCUGCGGCUGCUGUUUAGAGCUAUGAGUGAUGGACGGGGACCCACUGUUCUUCGGCUCCUUGGCCUUAACCUACUGUUCCAUGAGAUGUUAAACAACAUUUAAUCAAACCAUGCAUAGUGCUAGACCACAGAAAGAAGGCAGUUCAUUUUCAGCUGUCCAUAGCUUGAAAGUAUUUGAAUGAUUUUUGACUUUUCUCAUGGACUGAGGCGUUUCAGAAGAAUGUUAUACACUCCAUUGGUUGAGCCAACAUUUACUUAGGAUACUGUAAACCGUGUAUAUAUAGAUUAAAAUUUCAAAAUGUCAAUAUUUUUU